AAGUCACAUGUAUCUCUAUCUCCAUCUCUAACUAGAUAGAGUUCUGUUAACAAGAAUGCCAACUAACAAAGAUUUUGACAUUGAGAGUUGUUCUGGAGGAACAGAACUUUAUGGACUGAAAUGCCCUGUUCUUCAUCCUUGUUGCGUGUACCUUUUCUCCCUACCACAAAUCCAAUGUUAAGAAGCUGUACUUGUGAGUGCAGUUUAUUCCAGCAGUAUUCAUCUAAACAAAAUUAGUCAAGUAGUUUGUUGCAAUCCACCAAGACCUCUCUUAAGACAUCAGCUGAUCAUAGGACUUCUCAACCUCCAUAAGUGCGGUAGUGAAUUCUUAUAACAGAAGUCACAUGUAUCUCUAUCUCCAUCUCUAACUAGAUAGAGUUCUGUUAACAAGAAUGCCAACUAACAAAGAUUUUGACAUUGAGAGUUGUUCUGGAGGAACAGAACUUUAUGGACUGAAAUGCCCUGUUCUUCAUCCUUGUUGCGUGUACCUUUUCUCCCUACCACAAAUCCAAUGUUAAGAAGCUGUACUUGUGAGUGCAGUUUAUUCCAGCAGUAUUCAUCUAAACAAAAUUAGUCAAGUAGUUUGUUGCAAUCCACCAAGACCUCUCUUAAGGGAGGAAAAGCAGCAGGUCCCUGAGAGAACUGGGACAUGGAAGACAAAAGGGCAACUCUGGCAAACUGCCCAAAGAAGAAAGUUGCCGUAAGAGAGGACUAGAAGGGAGGACAGCUCAGAACCUGGCUACCCUCCCCCACCCACAAAGUCAGCACUCUCCGACCAACAGAAAGGAGGAAAAAAAAAACAAACCUAAAACAACAAACAAGAACAAACUGCUGAUCAAGCAGGACUGUGAGUGGAAAGGAAAUAUUUCAGGCACCACACCCUGUGAACUGGAACUGUGGAGAACCAUGCUGGAAUCGCUGCGGAGGUGAGCAAACAGUUCCAGGUGCCAUUAGAGAAAAACAGACUCCAAGGAGACCUACAAAUAGCCCAAGGCCAGCUGCAAGUUCCAAAAUCAUUGGAGUAAAUGAAGAUUCUUCUGACCUCACCCAUCCCAGAUGAAGGAUGGGUAGUCAUUGCCUGAAAAAGUUGAACAGGACAGGCUCUGGAUUCAAGGCAAGAAUCUUGCUAAAAACAGUAAGAACUUCGGGCCUCCCCGGUGGCUCAGAGGUUGAGCACUGGAUUGCGAAGCUGCCCGCUGCCUCUGCCUCUGCAGCGCCGGUUCGAUCCCCGGCUGCUCCCCGGCCACCAGAGGAGGGUCCCACAUGGCGCGCAG